rnacentral:rRNA from 1 species
AAUAGAUACCCGGGUAGUCCACGCUGUAAACGAUAUCAACUAGCUGUUGGUUAUAUGAAAAUAAUUAGUGGCGCAGCAAACGCGAUAAGUUGACCGCCUGGGGAGUACGGUCGCAAGAUUAAAACUCAAAGGAAUUGACGGGGGCCCGCACAAGCGGUGGAGCAUGUGGUUUAAUUCGAUGCAACGCGAAGAACCUUACCUACCCUUGACAUACAGUGAAUAAAGCAGAGAUGCAUUAGUGCCUUCGGGAACACUGAUACAGGUGCUGCAUGGCUGUCGUCAGCCCGUGUCGUGAGAUGUUGGGUUAAGUCCCGUAACGAGCGCAACCCUUAUCCUUAGUUGCCAUCGCGUAGAGGCGGGAACUCUAAGGAGACUGCCGGUGACAAACCGGAGGAAGGCGGGGAUGACGUCAAGUCAUCAUGGCCCUUACGGGUAGGGCUACACACGUGCUACAAUGGCCGAUACAGAGGGCAGCGAAGGGGCGACCUGGAGCAAAUCUUAGAAAGUCGGUCGUAGUCCGGAUUGGAGU